rnacentral:rRNA from 1 species
GGCGAGUGAAGCGGGAAGAGCUCAAAUUUGUAAUCUGGCUAUUUCAUAGUCCGAGUUGUAAUCUCGAGAAGUGUUUUCGGUGUUGGUCUGGAUACAAGUCUGUUGGAAUACAGCGUCAUAGUGGUGAGAACCCAGUUGAUUAUCCAGAAUCCAAUACUAUACGAUACGCUUUCGAAGAGUCGAGUUGUUUGGGAAUGCAGCUCAAAGUGGGUGGUAAAUUCCAUCUAAAGCUAAAUAUUGGCGAGAGACCGAUAGCGAACAAGUACCGUGAGGGAAAGAUGAAAAGCACUUUGGAAAGAGAGUUAACAGUACGUGAAAUUGUUGAAAGGGAAACGCUUCAAGUCAGACUUGCGAAAUGGAGUUCAGCCUUUGGGUGUAUUCUUCAUUAGCAGGCCAGCAUCAGUUUGACGGGGUUGAAAAUCGUUUUGAGAAGGUAGCAGCUUAUGCUGUGUUAUAGCUCUUGACUGGAUCGACUCUGUUGGACUGAGGAACGCAGAUUGCUUUUAGCAGCUCCCUCGGGAGCUCAAUCUGGAUGUCGGU